CAGUCGCCGCGGGAAUACGUAGGUGGCAAGCGUUGUCCGGAAUUAUUGGGCGUAAAGCGCGCGCAGGUGGUUUAAUAAGUCUGAUGUGAAAGCCCACGGCUCAACCGUGGAGGGUCGUUGGAAACUGUCAAACUUGAGUGCAGGAGAGAAAAGUGGAAUUCCUAGUGUAGCGGUGAAAUGCGUAGAGAUUAGGAGGAACACCAGUGGCGAAGGCGGCUUUUUGGCCUGUAACUGACACUGAGGCGCGAAAGCGUGGGGAGCAAACAGGAUUAGAUACCCCCGUAGUCCCUGUCUCUUAUAC
rnacentral:rRNA from 1 species